UUUCCUUUAUUCUUCCAAAUAAGCACUAGCUCUCUGGAAACUAUGUUAGCUUUUGAGAUCAGAUGUUUAAUCACCUUAUUUUUUGACAUUUUAAUUCCUUGUUUUCUAUCAAGCUCUGUGAAAUGGAAGAAGGAGUUAGUAAUUGUUAGUACUCAAUAUUUCUGGUGGAGCCUUGCUAUGAAUGAUUAUCACAUUGGAAAAUCACCAGCUGCGUUGAUCAUUCUGGGAAAUAUUCCACAACUGUACACCUUGACUUUUCCCAGUCUUAUAGGUGAGUUGUGCUGCUCAUAAAGAUACUACCAGGAGGACACUGCUGAAAUGCUACCCAGAAAGGCUACUUAUUUUCCCUCAUCAAUCUGCUGUACACACAUCCUGGAUUCCAAUGCUUGGGAUUCACGUUACUUCUUCACAAGAUGUGGACAUUCUGUUUGGACAAAUAGUUUACACGGUCUUAAUUGUCCAUGAUGAUAUAACAGCGUUAACACCACCUUUGGGAUUCAUUAAACUCAGAAGAACUGUGCACAUAGCUCUAUAACAUCAUCAACCAGAGCUCCUGAAAUCCUCAUUGUUUCAGGAAUUUCCUGAAGGUAACCUGACUCCCAGCAUCCUCCACAGGUUUUCUCUUCUUGAGUAAGAGCUCAGGUCUCAGGACCUCAGGAUGGAGUCACUUCUUCUUUCCUCAUGAAGCUGAAAGAAAGCGAUGCACAGUCUACUUCCCACUGUCAGGCUCAGAAACGACCUUUUCCCUUCUUACUCACCUCCUUACCUGUAGAAAGAGAGAAGGGUGAAGGACCAGAGACCCCACUGUGGAACCAGAGUGGGAAGGACAGUGCCUGCUUCAGCUGGUUACCAUCUUGGAUGCAGAUCACUGGCUGGGAAAAAUAUAAAAAUGUCAGGAAUUAUAUUGUUGUUAUCAGUAUGAAGAGAGAAAAAGGAAAGACCUAGACAGAGGUAUGGGGGGAAAUGUCAGGCUGUAAUGUCUAUAACUCUGAAACUAUAAUCUCUACAGUACCAGGACUACUUGAAAUUAAGAACAACAACAAAACCCAAAAAAACCCCAAACCUC